AGAUGUGCUCGUAGAGUAACGAGCAGGGUAAACAAAGAAAUGCUCAUUAAGA
rnacentral:sRNA from 12 species